rnacentral:rRNA from 1 species
CUAGACUUGACAUCUCCUGAAUUACUCUUAAUCGAGGAAGUCCCUUCGGGGACAGGAAGACAGGUGGUGCAUGGUUGUCGUCAGCUCGUGUCGUGAGAUGUUGGGUUAAGUCCCGCAACGAGCGCAACCCUUAUUGUUAGUUGCUACUAUUAAGUUAAGCACUCUAACGAGACUGCCGCGGUUAACGUGGAGGAAGGUGGGGAUGACGUCAAAUCAUCAUGCCCCUUAUGUCUAGGGCUACACACGUGCUACAAUGGCUGGUACAACGAGCAGCAAACCCGCGAGGGGGAGCAAAACUUGAAAGCCAGUCCCAGUUCGGAUUGUAGGCUGAAACUCGCCUACAUGAAGUUGGAGUUGCUAGUAAUCGCGAAUCAGCAUGUCGCGGUGAAUACGUUCCCGGGUCUUGUACACACCGCCCGUCACACCAUGCGAGCCGGUAACACCCGAAGCCCGUGAGGUAACCGUAAGGAGCCAGCGGUCGAAGGUGGGAUUGGUGAUUGGGGUGAAG